CACGGCAGCAGAGCGGGGAGGGGAGUCCUUCCGCCUCUGCGUGUCCGAGUGGGGCCGGGGACCUCGUCUCCAGAGUCCCCAGAGUUCCCACAGGCUCGGCGGGAGGAACUCGUUUGGAGCUCGGGAGCGCUCAGGACGCUCGCAGGCAUUUCAGAGCCAGGGGUUCGAAUCCCAGCUCCACCAGAGAGACUCCGUGAGUUUGGACAACCGGUCUCGGGGCCUCAGUUUCCCCCCUAGGUUGAGGCACCCAGGAGGCGAAGGAAAAGGUUGUGGUUCCUUUACUACUAGCCCGACCCCUCGGGCGGUCCACGGCUGCCCUGCAUGGAGCUGACGCUCAACGAGGGUUGUUGAAUGAAUGUGUGUAAGGAGCCCUGAGAAGCCACAAAUCUUGGACACCUGGCUGGAGGAUCUGUCUGUCCUGGCCCCAGCGUCUUAGAGAGGUACCUGCACAGCAAUGGAUAUUUCCAGUUGUUCUCCAUUCUCGUCAACACUUGGUGUGGUCAGUCAUUUUAAUUUUAGACAUCUAACAGGUAUCUGCACUGGCUCCUUCUGAAAAGAUGAUACAUUUGCCAAAGAUCAAUCAUUCUUCUCUGACUUCUCCUCUGGUGAAAACGUAUUACGUUGAUAUGUCAAAAACAAGGCACUUUCUCUGUUGAGGGGUAAAAACAAGAAAGGUGAUAC